rnacentral:rRNA from 1 species
UACGUAGGGUGCGAGCGUUGUCCGGAAUUAUUGGGCGUAAAGAGCUCGUAGGCGGUGUGUCACGUCGGCCGUGAAAACCUGCAGCUUAACUGUGGGCGUGCGGUCGAUACGGGCAUCACUGGAGUUCGGCAGGGGAGACUGGAAUUCCUGGUGUAGCGGUGAAAUGCGCAGAUAUCAGGAGGAACACCGGUGGCGAAGGCGGUUCUCUGGGCCGAUACUGACGCUGAGGAGCGAAAGCGUGGGGAGCAAACAGG